UUCCUGCAGGUAUGGGUAUACAGUGUUACAAGUGUGACUUCACACUUUAUGGUUUUCCUUGCUUCACUAGUAAAGUGACAUGUCCGAGUGGUAACAGCUGUGGAAAAUCUGUUUUCUCACUUGCAGGUACACCUGUGUCACAAACCAAAGACUGCAUUGAUAAUACACAAUGCAAUGCUACCACUACUUCAACUGUUGCAGGCAUAACUUACAACAGAACUACUAUCUGCUGCAAUAAUGAGGACUUAUGCAAUGCAGGUAGCACAACAAAAGUCUCCAUUUUCGCUGUGCUUCUUACACUGGUAUUCUGGAUUCAGAGACUUCUGUAAAGGUCUAAAAAGAGGACACUGCACUAGUUACCCUAGUCACAACAACACCACUUCUUUAUUCAGAUGGAAAUAUAUAAUGUAUCAUGUUUAUAAUCAUUACCAAAAUAAAUGACAGAUGUUUAAUUGUGUCAAAUGAUAAAGACAAAAUGAUUGUGAUCUUUUUCUAUGAUGAGUGUGCCAUGAUGACUUCUAGAGAGUACUAUUACUGUGUGUUGUUGCAUGCAGCAGCUAAUGUAUUAACAUACUAUGCAUUUCUUCCACAAAGUUAAUAGGACUUCAACAUCAGCGGAUGUUUUAGCUAAUCCUAUUUUGUCAUCUAAACUUCAUUCUUGUUCUAUUUUCUGAUUAGAGAUGAAUUAAAAUUAAAGCUUAAAACAUA